AGGACGAACGCUGGCGGCGCGCCUAAUACAUGCAAGUCGAGCGAGAACCGGGGCUUCGGCCCCGGGGAGAGCGGCGAACGGGUGCGUAUCACGUGAGCAACCUGCCUCGGAGACCGGAAUAACUCGAGGAAACUCGGGCUAAUGCCGGAUGCCCUCGGUGGACCGCAUGGUCCGGCGAGGAAAUGGAUUCCGCUCCGAGAUGGGCUCGCGGCCUAUCAGCUUGUUGGUGGGGUAACGGCCUACCAAGGCGACGACGGGUAGCUGGUCUGAGAGGACGAUCAGCCACACUGGGACUGAGACACGGCCCAGACUCCUACGGGAGGCAGCAGUAGGGAAUCUUGCGCAAUGGGGGAAACCCUGACGCAGCGACGCCGCGUGCGGGAUGAAGGCCUUCGGGUCGUAAACCGCUUUCAGCAGGGACGAAAUUGACGGUACCUGCAGAAGAGGCCCGGCAACUACGUGCCAGCAGCCGC
rnacentral:rRNA from 1 species